GACGAACGCUGGCGGCGUGCCUAAUACAUGCAAGUUGAGCGCUGAAGGUUGGUACUUGUACCAACUGGAUGAGCAGCGAACGGGUGAGUAACGCGUGGGGAAUCUGCCUUUGAGCGGGGGACAACAUUUGGAAACGAAUGCUAAUACCGCAUAAAAACUUUAAACACAAGUUUUAAGUUUGAAAGAUGCAAUUGCAUCACUCAAAGAUGAUCCCGCGUUGUAUUAGCUAGUUGGUGAGGUAAAGGCUCACCAAGGCGAUGAUACAUAGCCGACCUGAGAGGGUGAUCGGCCACAUUGGGACUGAGACACGGCCCAAACUCCUACGGGAGGCAGCAGUAGGGAAUCUUCGGCAAUGGACGAAAGUCUGACCGAGCAACGCCGCGUGAGUGAAGAAGGUUUUCGGAUCGUAAAAAUCUGUUGGUAGAGAAGAAAGUUGGUGAGAGUGGAAAGCUCAUCAAGUGACGGUAACUACCCAGAAAGGGACGGCUAACUACGUG
rnacentral:rRNA from 1 species